GGGUUGUGAGGUUAAGCGACUAAGCGUACACGGUGGAUGCCCUGGCAGUCAGAGGCGAUGAAGGACGUGCUAAUCUGCGAUAAGCGUCGGUAAGGUGAUAUGAACCGUUAUAACCGGCGAUUUCCGAAUGGGGAAACCCAGUGUGAUUCGUCACACUAUCAUUAACUGAAUCCAUAGGUUAAUGAGGCGAACCGGGGGAACUGAAACAUCUAAGUACCCCGAGGAAAAGAAAUCAACCGAGAUUCCCCCAGUAGCGGCGAGCGAACGGGGAGGAGCCCAGAGCCUGAAUCAGUGUGUGUGUUAGUGGAAGCGUCUGGAAAGGCGCGCGAUACAGGGUGACAGCCCCGUACACAAAAAUGCACAUGCUGUGAGCUCGAUGAGUAGGGCGGGACACGUGGUAUCCUGUCUGAAUAUGGGGGGACCAUCCUCCAAGGCUAAAUACUCCUGACUGACCGAUAGUGAACCAGUACCGUGAGGGAAAGGCGAAAAGAACCCCGGCGAGGGGAGUGAAAAAGAACCUGAAACCGUGUACGUACAAGCAGUGGGAGCCCUGAUUUAUCAGGGUGACUGCGUACCUUUUGUAUAAUGGGUCAGCGACUUAUAUUCUGUAGCAAGGUUAACCGAAUAGGGGAGCCGAAGGGAAACCGAGUCUUAACUGGGCGUUAAGUUGCAGGGUAUAGACCCGAAACCCGGUGAUCUAGCCAUGGGCAGGUUGAAGGUUGGGUAACACUAACUGGAGGACCGAACCGACUAAUGUUGAAAAAUUAGCGGAUGACUUGUGGCUGGGGGUGAAAGGCCAAUCAAACCGGGAGAUAGCUGGUUCUCCCCGAAAGCUAUUUAGGUAGCGCCUCGUGAAUUCAUCUCCGGGGGUAGAGCACUGUUUCGGCAAGGGGGUCAUCCCGACUUACCAACCCGAUGCAAACUGCGAAUACCGGAGAAUGUUAUCACGGGAGACACACGGCGGGUGCUAACGUCCGUCGUGAAGAGGGAAACAACCCAGACCGCCAGCUAAGGUCCCAAAGUCAUGGUUAAGUGGGAAACGAUGUGGGAAGGCCCAGACAGCCAGGAUGUUGGCUUAGAAGCAGCCAUCAUUUAAAGAAAGCGUAAUAGCUCACUGGUCGAGUCGGCCUGCGCGGAAGAUGUAACGGGGCUAAACCAUGCACCGAAGCUGCGGCAGCGACACUAUGUGUUGUUGGGUAGGGGAGCGUUCUGUAAGCCUGUGAAGGUGUGCUGUGAGGCAUGCUGGAGGUAUCAGAAGUGCGAAUGCUGACAUAAGUAACGAUAAAGCGGGUGAAAAGCCCGCUCGCCGGAAGACCAAGGGUUCCUGUCCAACGUUAAUCGGGGCAGGGUGAGUCGACCCCUAAGGCGAGGCCGAAAGGCGUAGUCGAUGGGAAACAGGUUAAUAUUCCUGUACUUGGUGUUACUGCGAAGGGGGGACGGAGAAGGCUAUGUUGGCCGGGCGACGGUUGUCCCGGUUUAAGCGUGUAGGCUGGUUUUCCAGGCAAAUCCGGAAAAUCAAGGCUGAGGCGUGAUGACGAGGCACUACGGUGCUGAAGCAACAAAUGCCCUGCUUCCAGGAAAAGCCUCUAAGCAUCAGGUAACAUCAAAUCGUACCCCAAACCGACACAGGUGGUCAGGUAGAGAAUACCAAGGCGCUUGAGAGAACUCGGGUGAAGGAACUAGGCAAAAUGGUGCCGUAACUUCGGGAGAAGGCACGCUGAUAUGUAGGUGAAGUCCCUCGCGGAUGGAGCUGAAAUCAGUCGAAGAUACCAGCUGGCUGCAACUGUUUAUUAAAAACACAGCACUGUGCAAACACGAAAGUGGACGUAUACGGUGUGACGCCUGCCCGGUGCCGGAAGGUUAAUUGAUGGGGUCAGCGCAAGCGAAGCUCUUGAUCGAAGCCCCGGUAAACGGCGGCCGUAACUAUAACGGUCCUAAGGUAGCGAAAUUCCUUGUCGGGUAAGUUCCGACCUGCACGAAUGGCGUAAUGAUGGCCAGGCUGUCUCCACCCGAGACUCAGUGAAAUUGAACUCGCUGUGAAGAUGCAGUGUACCCGCGGCAAGACGGAAAGACCCCGUGAACCUUUACUAUAGCUUGACACUGAACAUUGAGCCUUGAUGUGUAGGAUAGGUGGGAGGCUUAGAAGUGUGGACGCCAGUCUGCAUGGAGCCGACCUUGAAAUACCACCCUUUAAUGUUUGAUGUUCUAACGUUGACCCGUGAUCCGGGUUGCGGACAGUGUCUGGUGGGUAGUUUGACUGGGGCGGUCUCCUCCUAAAGAGUAACGGAGGAGCACGAAGGUUGGCUAAUCCUGGUCGGACAUCAGGAGGUUAGUGCAAUGGCAUAAGCCAGCUUGACUGCGAGCGUGACGGCGCGAGCAGGUGCGAAAGCAGGUCAUAGUGAUCCGGUGGUUCUGAAUGGAAGGGCCAUCGCUCAACGGAUAAAAGGUACUCCGGGGAUAACAGGCUGAUACCGCCCAAGAGUUCAUAUCGACGGCGGUGUUUGGCACCUCGAUGUCGGCUCAUCACAUCCUGGGGCUGAAGUAGGUCCCAAGGGUAUGGCUGUUCGCCAUUUAAAGUGGUACGCGAGCUGGGUUUAGAACGUCGUGAGACAGUUCGGUCCCUAUCUGCCGUGGGCGCUGGAGAACUGAGGGGGGCUGCUCCUAGUACGAGAGGACCGGAGUGGACGCAUCACUGGUGUUCGGGUUGUCAUGCCAAUGGCACUGCCCGGUAGCUAAAUGCGGAAGAGAUAAGUGCUGAAAGCAUCUAAGCACGAAACUUGCCCCGAGAUGAGUUCUCCCUGACCCUUUAAGGGUCCUGAAGGAACGUUGAAGACGACGACGUUGAUAGGCCGGGUGUGUAAGCGCAGCGAUGCGUUGAGCUAACCGGUACUAAUGAACCGUGAGGCUUAACCUUACAACGCCGAAGCUGUU
rnacentral:rRNA from 1 species